rnacentral:rRNA from 1 species
AUUGAACGCUGGCGGCAUGCUUUACACAUGCAAGUCGAACGGCAGCGCGGGCUUCGGCCUGGCGGCGAGUGGCGAACGGGUGAGUAAUGCAUUGGAACGUGCCCAGUAGUGGGGGAUAGCCCGGCGAAAGCCGGAUUAAUACCGCAUACGACCUGAGGGUGAAAGCGGGGGACCGAAAGGCCUCGCGCUAUUGGAGCGGCCGAUGUCGGAUUAGCUAGUUGGUGGGGUAAAGGCUUACCAAGGCGACGAUCCGUAGCUGGUCUGAGAGGACGACCAGCCACACUGGGACUGAGACACGGCCCAGACUCCUACGGGAGGCAGCAGUGGGGAAUUUUGGACAAUGGGGCCAACCCUGAUCCAGCCAUGCCGCGUGCGGGAAGAAGGCCUUCGGGUUGUAAACCGCUUUUGUUCGGGAAGAAAUCCUCUGGGCUAAUACCCCGGGGGGAUGACGGUACCGGAAGAAUAAGCACCGGCUAACUACGUG